rnacentral:tRNA from 1 species
GCUGGUGUAGCUCAGCGGUAGAGCAGCGCACUCGUAAUGCGCAGGUCGUCGGUUCGAAUCCGACCACCAGCU